rnacentral:siRNA from 1 species
UUAAAACUUUCUGUUGCACCUG